rnacentral:rRNA from 1 species
UACGUAGGGACCAAGCGUUGUUCGGAUUUACUGGGCGUAAAGGGCGCGUAGGCGGCAAUUCAAGUCAGUUGUGAAAUCUCCGAGCUUAACUCGGAACGGUCAGCUGAUACUGCGGGGCUAGAGUGCAGAAGGGGCAACUGGAAUUCUCGGUGUAGCGGUGAAAUGCGUAGAUAUCGAGAGGAACACCUGCGGCGAAGGCGGGUUGCUGGGCUGACACUGACGCUGACAGCGCGAAAGCUAGGGGAGCGGACGGG